rnacentral:misc_RNA from 1 species
AAAUCAUGUACAUGUUCAUGUAGAUCAUGAUUGUACACUUUAUCGGUAAAUGGGAUCAAAAUUACUAGUAUUCAGGAUGAAUGCAAAAAUGAAGUUUUCCUCUUAUGUAAUAAUUCCAUAUGAUUUUAGAAACAAGAAAGUUUGCAUGAUAUGAAAUUUUAUAUUAAUGUACGUAUAUUAAUUUAAUGUGACCAUUGUUAUUUGUAGCUGUUUUUGGCAUAAGGAAAACUUCAUAUCUAACAAUCCAUGGCAUUGCAAUGUUUGUUUGUUGUUUUAAGUCAAUAAAGGUUUAUGUUUUGGAAAUGAUCUGUAAUUAUGUCUUAAGAUGAAUGAUGGUAAACAUCUUUUUAAGCAUUUACAUGUUUUCUACCCGUCUCUCAUUGUCUUUUGACCCCCUCUAUCUAUAAUAGUAUGAUUUAAUGUGAGUUUUGUAAAAAAUUAUCCCCUUACAUGUAUAUAAAUUUAUAAAACGUUAAAAUGAGACUAAAUAAAAUAUAAAAUGAU